GUAGGUGGCAAGCGUUGUCCGGAAUUAUUGGGCGUAAAGCGCGCGCAGGCGGUUCUUUAAGUCUGAUGUGAAAGCCCCCGGCUCAACCGGGGAGGGUCAUUGGAAACUGGGGAACUUGAGUGCAGGAGAGGAAAGUGGAAUUCCACGUGUAGCGGUGAAAUGCGUAGAUAUGUGGAGGAACACCAGUGGCGAAGGCGACUUUCUGGCCUGUAACUGACACUGAGGCGCGAAAGCGUGGGGAGCAAACAGGGAUUAGAUACCCUGGUAGUCCACGCCGUAAACGAUGAGUGCUAAGUGUUGGGGGGGUUUCCCGCCCCUCAGUGCUGCAGCUAACGCAUUAAGCACUCCGCCUGGGGAGUACGGUCGCAAGACUG
rnacentral:rRNA from 1 species